UAUUUUCCUUUUUUUCCCUCCGCCGCGGUAAUACGUAGGGGGCAAGCGUUAUCCGGAUUUACUGGGUGUAAAGGGAGCGUAGACGGCAAGGCAAGUCUGAUGUGAAAACCCAGGGCUUAACCCUGGGACUGCAUUGGAAACUGUCUGGCUCGAGUGCCGGAGAGGUAAGCGGAAUUCCUAGUGUAGCGGUGAAAUGCGUAGAUAUUAGGAAGAACACCAGUGGCGAAGGCGGCUUACUGGACGGUAACUGACGUUGAGGCUCGAAAGCGUGGGGAGCAAACAGG
rnacentral:rRNA from 1 species